UACGUAGGGGGCAAGCGUUAUCCGGAUCUACUGGGUGUAAAGGGAGCGUAGACGGCUGUGCAAGUCUGAAGUGAAAGGCAAGGGCUCAACCUUUGGACUGCUUUGGAAACUGUGCAGCUAGAGUGUCGGAGAGGCAAGUGGAAUUCCUAGUGUAGCGGUGAAAUGCGUAGAUAUUAGGAGGAACACCAGUGGCGAAGGCGGCUUGCUGGACGAUGACUGACGUUGAGGCUCGAAAGCGUGGGGAGCAAACAGG
rnacentral:rRNA from 1 species